rnacentral:rRNA from 1 species
CGCGUAGGCGGUUUGGCAAGUCGGAUGUGAAAGCCCAGGGCUCAACCUUGGAAUUGCAUUCGAUACUGCUUAACUAGAGUAUGGUAGAGGGAAGUGGAAUUUCCGGUGUAGUGGUGAAAUGCGUAGAUAUCGGAAGGAACACCAGUGGCGAAGGCGACUUCCUGGGCCAAUACUGACACUGAGGUGCGAAAGCGUGGGGAGCAAACA